GAUGAACGCUGGCGGCGUGCUUAACACAUGCAAGUCGAACGGAAAGGCUCCUGCUUGCAGGGGUACUCGAGUGGCGAACGGGUGAGUAACACGUGGGUGAUCUGCCCUGCACUUCGGGAUAAGCCUGGGAAACUGGGUCUAAUACCGGAUAGGACGAUGGUUUGGAUGCCAUUGUGGAAAGUUUUUUCGGUGUGGGAUGAGCUCGCGGCCUAUCAGCUUGUUGGUGGGGUAAUGGCCUACCAAGGCGUCGACGGGUAGCCGGCCUGAGAGGGUGUACGGCCACAUUGGGACUGAGAUACGGCCCAGACUCCUACGGGAGGCAGCAGUGGGGAAUAUUGCACAAUGGGCGCAAGCCUGAUGCAGCGACGCCGCGUGGGGGAUGACGGCCAUCGGGUUGUAAACUCCUUUCGCUAGGGACGAAGCGCAAGUGACGGUACCUGGAGAAGAAGCACCGGCUAACUACGUG
rnacentral:rRNA from 1 species